GGGGACAUGGCGGAAUGGUAGACGCGCCGGACUUAAAAUCCGUUGGAGCAAUCCGUGUGGGUUCGAGUCCCACUGUCCCUACCA
rnacentral:tRNA from 2 species